UAAUACGUAGGGGGCAAGCGUUGUCCGGAAUUAUUGGGCGUAAAGCGCGCGCAGGCGGUUUCUUAAGUCUGGUGUUUAAGUGCGGGGCUCAACCCCGUGACGCACUGGAAACUGGGAGACUUGAGUGCAGAAGAGGAGAGCGGAAUUCCACGUGUAGCGGUGAAAUGCGUAGAGAUGUGGAGGAACACCAGUGGCGAAGGCGGCUCUCUGGACUGUAACUGACGCUGAGGCGCGAAAGCGUGGGGAGCAAACAGGAUUAGAUACCCUGGUAGUCCACGCCGUAAACGAUGAGUGCUAGGUGUUGGGGGGGGCCACCCCUCGGUGCCGAAGUUAACACAUUAAGCACUCCGCCUGGGGAGUACGGUCGCAAGACUGAA
rnacentral:rRNA from 1 species